AAAUAAAGAAAGGAAAAGAAUUCAAGGCCCUCCUAGCUUUAGUUCAUGAACAGAGAAGAGUCCAGGCCUGGAUCCAAAAUAGUUCAACCCAAAUUCCUUUCCUCUGGCUGCUAUUUCCCCAUACACGGCCUCCACAAAACCCCGACCUCCCCCAACUUCACUAGCUGUGACCCAUUUCUAAGUGCCACCCAGUACUGCAGUCCUUCAUCUAUCUAGGUUUGCAGCAGGUUGAGAUAGAAUAGCAGUGAGUGGCUCUCCUGCCUAACUGGGCAUAGUCAAUAAGUAAUUCUACUUGGGGCAAUCCCUUCUGCUGUCUGGGGCAUCAAGGACAUGGGGUAUCCCUUCCUGCUGGCUAUCCCUGCUGCCAGCUCACCUCAUGUUCCUCCCAGGCUGAAGAAAAGAUAGGAAGCAUGUUUUGGGAAAGCUGGGGAGAAAAACCUCAGAGGAGCCUUGAACUUGCCCAAUUCCUUUGGAUUAUGGCUUAGUGCACAGGGGUGCGAAGUGGUCAGGCCCCGAGCAUUUAUUGGUCUCCAGUUCCAUACCUGACUCACCCAGAUCAGAUCACUGCUCAUUGCCCAGGAAAUCUAAGUGCCCACCUCCAACCUCUUGCUGGAAUCAGGAUACUGUGUCAGCCCCUUGCAGCCAACAAUAAGCACAUCCUUUCCUCUUCAGGACUCUUGCUUCUAAAACACAGUCUGCUUCUUUCACUGUCUUUUCCCCUUUCCCAGCAUGCACCAAUGUUUUAUGAUAAGCGUCACUCUUGAUUUUCAUCUAGUUGUAACAUAGUAAAAAGGUUCACUCUUGGUUUCCAUCUAGUUGUAGCAUAGUUAGUAAAAAGGUUCACUCUUAGUUUUCAUCUAGUUGUAACAUAGUAAAAGCUGCUGAGAUGCUGUAAACUAAGGACUGAAAGCUCCCAGGCAGGAAGGCAAAGGGCGUCAUUGGGAAGUUCCCGACAGGGCUGGUUGGGUCUGUACAUCUGAGAGGCUCUGAGAGCUGGGGGACAGUUGUGAUGUCACAUCCAAAUUUACACAACACACAUCUGUGCAUCAUUGUGUGGGUUUUCUGGAGCAGCAAUAAAACCCACAGUUAGGAUAUUAGUUGCAGAGUGUACUAGACUUAAAUCCCAACUACGCCACUUACUAAUUUCAUGAUGCAGGCCGGGAUGUAAACCUCAGAGUCUAUAGCUGUCAGAUGGGAGACAAGAAUGCCUGCCUGUCUGAAUGGUGACGCUUUAAAUUAUGUUGGUCAGGAAUGGCUGUGUAACAAGUGCCCGUCCUGUCACAGUGGCGUACAGUAAUGAAUGACAUUUUGAGUGUUUCUGAAGCUACAGUCUGUAGCUUCAAGCUGCGGGUCGGGUGGGCUCAAGUCCACUUGUUGAGUUUCAUACAGGCUCAGGACAGUGUGGCAGCAGCUGUCUCCAGGACAUUUCCCACAGUAAUGACGAGACACAGAAGAGCAUCAAGGCCAGUGACUGCUGAAGCACAUUUCAAGCCCUCAGGUUGCUUUAUUACUUAUAUCCUAUUGGCUAUAUCAGGUCUCAAGGCUGAGCCUACUGGCAGAGAGAGAAAAGUGUGUUCAGUCCACAAGCAGGACAUGUUAAGGGUAGGAAUUGGGACAAAUACUAUCAAUUACAGAAGGUGUGACUCAUUCAAAACCACCAUUCGGUUUCUGACUCACAGCUGAUACUUAGAAAAGAUGUUAGGGUUUAAAUCUUGGCACAUGCCUGGACAGAACAUACCAAGCCAACAUGGUACCAUGUGGAAAGGUUUAAUGAGAGAAGAAGAGGAGAAGAAGAGAGGAAAGGCCUAUCA
ensembl:lncRNA